rnacentral:SRP_RNA from 1 species
GCUGGGCAAGGUGGCACAUGCCUGUAGUCCCAGCUACUCGGGAAGGCUGAGGUGGGAGGAUCGCUUGAGCCCAGGAGUUCUGGGCUGUAGUGUGCUAUGCCUAUCAGGUGUCUGCACUAAGUUCGGCAUCAAUAUGGUGACCUCCUGGGACCACCAGGUUGCCUAAGGAGGGGUGAACUGGCCCAGGUCGGAAACAGAGCAGGUCAAAACUCCCGUGCUGAUCAGUAGUGGGAUCGUGACUGUGAAUAACCACUGCACUCCAGCCUGGGCAACAUAGCGAGACUCCGUCUCU